rnacentral:rRNA from 1 species
UACGUAGGUGACCAGCGUUGUCCGGAUUUACUGGGCGUAAAGAGCGCGCAGGCGGUCGUUCAAGUCGAGUGUGAAAGCCCCCGGCUCAACUGGGGAGGGUCAUUCGAUACUGAUCGACUUGAAGGCAGGAGAGGGAAGCGGAAUUCCCGGUGUAGUGGUGAAAUGCGUAGAUAUCGGGAGGAACACCAGUGGCGAAGGCGGGCUUCCUGGCCUGUUCCUUGACGCUGGAGGCGCCGAAAGCGUAGG